UGCGCAGGCGGUUUGCUAAGACAGGUGUGAAAUCCCCGAGCUUAACUUGGGAAUUGCGCUUGUAACUGGCAAGCUAGAGUGUGGCAGAGGGGGGUGGAAUUCCACGUGUAGCAGUGAAAUGCGUAGAUAUGUGGAGGAACACCGAUGGCGAAGGCAGCCCCCUGGGUUAACACUGACGCUCAUGCACGAAAGCGUGGGGAGCAAACAGGAUUAGAUACCCUGGUAGUCCACGCCCUAAACUAUGUCAACUAGUUGUCGGGGAAGAAAUUCCUUGGUAACGAAGCUAACGCGUGAAGUUGACCGCCUGGGGAGUACGGCCGCAAGGUUAAA
rnacentral:rRNA from 1 species